GAUGAAGAACGCAGUGAAAUGCGAUAAGUAAUGUGAAUUGCAGAAUUCAGUGAAUCAUCGAAUCUUUGAACGCACAUUGCGCCCGCCAGUAUUCUGGCGGGCAUGCCUGUUCGAGCGUCAUUACAACCCUCAGGCCCCCGGGCCUGGCGUUGGGGAUCGGCGGAGCCCCCCGUGGGCACACGCCGUCCCCCAAAUGCAGUGGCGGUCCCGCCGCAGCUUCCAUCGCGUAGUAGCUAACACCUCGCGACUGGAGAGCGGCGCGGCCACGCCGUAAAACACCCAACUCUUCUGAAGUUGACCUCGAAUCAGGUAGGAAUACCCGCUGAACUUAAGCAUAUCAAUAAGCGGAGGA
rnacentral:misc_RNA from 1 species